CAGAACUCUGCUGCAGACAGCACAGGUUUCCAAAAUACAACUCAGCAGUCACAUAUUGCCACGAUACAGAGGUUAGAACUGCCGAAAUCCGUCUCCGUGUCUACAUGUAUGGCACCACUGUCCAAGCGUCUGCGCGUUCCUAUGGCACACGGGCCUUAGUGCCAACUGCUGCUGCAGCUACACUGAAGAGUCAAGACACACAGCACGUCAUCACCGCGUCAUCGUUGAACUACUGCCUAUGACGCGGUAGGCUUUUGUAUGAAAAGCCGUUACCUAUAGAGUUUGGCGCAGCGUAGCAUAACUAUCGCAUGUAACUCAAUACGCAUGCAACAAUUUAAUGUUUAUCGAAAUAUGAAUAACAGCCGUUAACUGUCAAGAUUGUGUAAAACUGACACCAAAUUGUUUGUACGGCGACGACGCCACCCACUUCAAGCGCCUAGUUAUGUGGACACUUAACGUCUGGAGUAGAUGCUGAGUCUGGGCAGGUUUAAGAAAAGGUUAUCCCAUGGAAACAGCGGAAUUAUACGGUUUUAAACGAUUGUAUGUUUUACUCUCAACUUGGACAUACGCGACCAACGUGUCUUUGUUCUUUUCGCUACGCAGAUAACAAAAUACUCGUCGCUAGUUGGUGAUCCAAUUUAAAUCGGUGACAGGUUGCACGUCACCGCAUCCGCGAAUCGGUGACAUUAGCAAAAUUGCUGACGGACCAUUCGCGCGGCCCUCUUUAUUUCGAUAGUGUUUUCGCGUUCUUUGCGAUUUAAUCAAAGUCACCCAUUCAGCAAGAGCCAGUUAGAGCAUGCUCGGCUUUAGACUUCUUGGCACUCACAGCCGUGUUAUAAACGGAUAGACUAGCAAACACCUCAAGUUAUCACCUUCCAUCGAUCAAACUGUGGUGACCCCAAGAAGUCCCAAAGUUUUGGCACAUUCUACCUUGAGGUCUAUGGACUUAUUAGUACAGCAGCCUAUCUACUGACCAACACUGUAGGAAUAAAACAAACUUAACUGCUUAUUAUCCUAUACGAUGUCGUGUGCUUUGUUGAUAAGUCUUCUCGCCGUGUCUAUCGUAUUCUGAAAAUCCAAAAGGUUUGGGCUUGCGGUUCAAUAUUUCUGUAAUCAGUAGUGGGGGCUUCCAGUACAUGUUAUAUGACUGGAGACGUCGAAUAGAACAAAAGCUCUGCUAUAGGGCUCACCAUUCCCCUAACACGGUGUCUCGGAGUCGACAUUUGUGUAGCCAGCUACGAACAGCAGCGUCUGUAUCGAAAACACACUUGUUCUCUGCUUCACCUAUAUUGACGGCGUAUAGAGAAGCGUUGUGUCCGGUGGCGCCUCUCCAUGCGCCACACUGGCCGCAGGCAGUGAGGUUGAUCAACUUUGAGUGUCGAAACAAGGUCGAAGAGCGAUAGGGUUCAAACCUGCCUCUGUCGAAACUGCAGCAACCAUUAAACGCAACUGUAUCGUCCCGUUCAUCAGACCCUUCCCUAAAUCCCUCCUCAAUAAGAUUGCCGCGACUUUCUCCACCGGCGGGACGGUUCCACUAGAUCCAUCACUCUGACAUUCCUAGCCAAGACUAAGCCCAUCAAAAUCAUAUUCAAGUGGCUUGAAUGCUAUUGAUCGGGGCUGCAGAUCGCUCACCCCACAAAAGGGCACUUCUCUGAAAUUUCGGUCCGACCAAACAAUUGGCGACCAAAACGUCCUCGACGUCAGAGCACCCUGCCGCUCUAUAUAGCACGCAUUGGAGCAUCCUCUUUCGACGUAUAGCUCUAGCUCAAGAAUUUCGAUAUCACCUAGGCAUCAGUGAACGUAUAACGAGAGAUGAUGUGCGGAGGUGCAGAUCUAUGGUUGCCAGCCAAGUAUCUCCUCUAUUUCCGAACUAACGCAGCAGCCCGAGUAUUGCAGUAGGUCAGGGUUGACUGAAAUAGAGCUAUAUAUACAUAUAUAUGGAAAGUGAUGCAAUAUUAUCUUGCCCAAAAUAGGGACGCAUUAAACCUUCUACAGCAUGAUCUAUCAAAAAUAGAUGAAAUAAUGUCUCGAGAGAGAGGUGAUCUAGAUAAAAAAAUGUUAGGUGGCAUAAAAUAACAAAUAAAAGACGAUCACUGUAUUGAA